UUGAAAUGGAAAAUUUGCUGGAGAAAGUUGAUUAAGUAACAUUUCACGGAAGAGGAGAAUUGUAAUAACCAUUUGAUAGAAGAGAGAUGUCCUUGAACUCAAUCUAUCCUGAAGAUGCUCCUGAGAGGGCAAACAAAUAACAUCUCUCUGGAAGGAUGCCUGCCUUUGUCAAAGCUUUCAAAUCUGUAUGACUUCUAUCUUUCCUUGGCUUCCCUUACUCAAUUAGUCAAGGAUCCUUGUGGAUGUUUAACAUAAAAUGUCACUCACAUCUGCCCUCCUCCUCAACUUUCCAUUCCAUCCUCUCCACAGAUGCCUGAUGCAUUUUCUUCUGACUCAGUCUUCUGUUUUUCAUGGAGAACACAGAGCAAGACAGAAGCUCCCAACUGUGGCAUCCAAGAGCAACUUGAGCUGCUCCCUUACUUAUCUCUGGUCUGGCUCAAACUCUUUGUGAUGACUGUUCUACCAUAUGGCUUAAUAGCUAAGUACACAUGCAUUGACCUCAAGCCUUCCCACAGCUCAGGUUCCUGAGGCACAGACUCUGGAUGGAAAUUAGCACAUAAUAGGUUUAUUAGAAAGUGCUCUUGGAAUUAACAUCUUUGGAGGAAGAAAAGAAGCAAUAUUGUCCAGAGAGGGAAGUUGAACUGCAAUGAAGUUGCCACAGAGGCUUCAAUGAAUCCUUCUGGGUGUAGAGCUGGGAUGACCUUUCCAGAGUUUUCCAAUUAAGGGAAUUGUAUCUCACCUCAAUCUCUAGUCUGAACCUUGGGUGAGGCAGCUUCUUUCAGCCAAUGGCAAUUCCUGGAGGCACCAGGAGUUAUGAGCAGUCAACACUCUUUCUUUGCUCCUGAGAAAAUUGAGUGCCCUCUUUGGUCCUGAAAGCAGCUCUGGGCAGCACUCCACAGCAUCCACUACAGACUUAGUGAGUUCACCCUGGCUCUCCCACUUACAGAUUGCAGUUCUUGUAACAAGAAUGGGAUG
rnacentral:lncRNA from 10 species